AGAGUUAGGGAGAGGCGGCCGAGCUGCACACCUUGAGCCCCGGCCUCCUCCGAAGGGAACCCCUGCACCCCAGCGGGGUCAGCACAAGGUAGAGAAGGUAGAGGUCAGGGUGGAACAAAAGGGAAGGUCCCGCGGGUGUGCACGCUCUCGCAGGCACACAGCCGGCUCGCGGAGACACAGGGGCGGGGGAGGGGAGGGGAGGGGAGGGGAGGGCCUGACCUGAGAGGCCAGAGCGGGCGUGGGGGCCCCCCUCGGGUCAGGAGCCGGCCUCACCUUUGCAGUUCUUAUAUACCCGGCCAAGCAUCCCAAACACGCGGCCCUGGCCAAGUGGCCCCCUCGGGCUGCGCUCCCUGACCAUAUUUAGUCAAGCAGGGGAAAAAAUAGCCUGUCAGCUGGGCCGCGGCUGGCCCGGCCACCGGGAACAGGGUGGGAGCACCCACGCCAUUGACGGCGGGUCCCGGGCUCAGGCUGCUGUCCUGCCCCUCCCGGCCCCUCCCUGACAGGCCUCCCACCGGCUGUCCCUGCCCGAGAUCCCCCCGCUAUUUUUAGCCCAGCCAGUACAGAGGCGCCUCCUCAGUAGCCGGGCAGCAGCCUCCAUGCCAUGCCAGCCGGCUCCUAGGGUGCCCUGGGGAGACCCGGGCAUCUCCCAGGCUGCAGGGCCGGGGGUGGGGGGGGCGGGCAGAAUGGUACGGCCUCCUUCGCUGCUCUGAGCCUCCAGUGGGCUGAGCCCACCCAGGCCACCAGGAGUGGGUGGCCCCCUCCACAGUCCCAUCGGCUCUGCCCUUUUGCCUAGAAUUGGGGCCAGGAUCAGGUGGUGACAGAGCCACCUGGGUUUCCGGAGACUCUCAAGCCAACCCCAAGUCAUGACAAAUGCCAGUCGCCUUGGACAGAGGCAAGGGCCUGGACGCAGAGACCAGAGGCCUGAACUGGCAGACUGUCCUCACAGGCUGUGUGACGCUGGCUGGUCGUCCCAUCUCUCUGGGGCCCCACAGGACUGGGGACCAGGUCGUGGAAUGACAGUGGACCACAGUGGUCCGGGGACCCCGCUCGUUGGUGGCAGGCACAGGCCCGUGUGAUGGGGACAAUGAGCUUUGGUAUUUGUGAGUCCUGUCCAGAGCAUAGGUCCUCCUGUUCAGAAGCCACCUCAUAAAUGUCCCCAGUGCCUCCCGGACUUAGGAAGGCAUCCCCUUGUGGUUCUGGCCAGUUAGGGACACAGGGCCGGGGAGUCUAUGCCGCUCAGAACAGGCUCAGCUGCAUCUAAUCCCAGGGGAGCCCCUGAGGAGCCUGCACACCCCCCAGGCUGGCCCACAGGAGCUGAGGCAGGGCUCUCCUCCAGGUUCACCUCCUGGGCUCACGGCCCCUUCCCCACAUCCCAAGGCCGGCUCUGCAGAGUCAUGGGGAGAAGCCGGAGCCCCAGCCACACUCGCCACACACGCCGACACCCACUCUGGUGUCCUCCGGCCAGCGACAGCGAGGGACAGAGGGACGCCCCCUGCACCUGCCCAGUGCAGAGGCUUCUUGAGUGAUGCCAGGCCCUUCUCCCAGCCCUGUACGCCCCGCUAAAGACCCCAUGUCUCACCAUAAAGGAGGCCAGGAGGUUUUAAGCUUCUACCUGGUCUGAGCACUUUUCUGGAAACUAAAUAGCCACUCGGCUUCCCACUGGCAGCGGGAGAGCGUGGUGUGAGGUGUGGUGUCCAAACUCCCCCUGCAAGGCCCCUCCCCUGCAGCCCACUUCCUCCUGCCUGCCGUCUCCAGGCAGGGUUGAGGGGGGCAGGCCAGGCCUGCAGCUGGGGUCAGGGGCAUAGACAGCCACAAUGGGGGAGGUGGGGAGCAGUCUGCAGGCCUGGGCAGGCGGCUCUGUAAAGGAUGCGGGUGCUUUGUGGUGGUGAGAGAGAGGGUAUGCAGCAGACGUGGCCAUAAAUCACCCUCCUCACGGCAGCCCCACACCCACGGACCAGGGCACGGGCACAGGGCCAUCUCCUUCCAGGAGAAGGGCUGGUGUGGGUGGCCAGAUCUGACAGCCCCCAGGCCGUAGGACAGAGCCAGAAGACAGAGCAGUUCCCCCGUUUACCCAUAGCACCAGCCUCACAGUAACAGCCGGCACACAGCACUUAGGCUGCCUGGUGUUCCAGAAGCUUCUGCAGGGGCUCUAUGCUGCACUCAAGGCAUCCCUAAGAGGAGAGCAUUUUGCUGUCCCCACUUUACGGAGAAGGAACGUGGGCUCAGGGUGGUUUAAGGCGUGAAUGAAUGAAGGAGCAAGCAGUAAGCCCCGACAGCAAGGCCACCACAGCCCUCGCCCCACAGGGACGCCUGAGCAAGGACCCAAGCAGGGGACAAGCAGGCUCACCCCGCCCUUGCGGGGCUGACCACGAGGCCCCGUCCGGUGGAACACGCCAUGACGCUUCAGGAGGCUCAUGUAGCUGGCGCCGUAUGGGACAGCGGGGGAGAGAGAAAAUGCACAGCCCAGGGAAUGUGGAGACAGGCCCAGCGCCAGGCAUGGGGGCCGGAAGGAGCAGCCGGGGAGCAGGGGGCAGGGCCUGGAGUCCCGCCUUGCAGGUCAGAGAUCUGAACCUGCCCCAGCCCCAGGACUCUGAGUGCAGCAAGAGGGGAGCCGGGCUGGAGAGUGGGGAGCACGGAGACUGUGGCCUGGAUGGUGCCAGAGCAAACAGGAGAGAGGCUGCCCAACGCAGAGGCUGCAGCACAGACCAGAGGGUCCCGGGGCUGACUGGGUGGGGGCAGCUCCCAGCGAGAGGCCCCUGGGAUUUGGGUAAGUAGAGGCACAUGCAGACUCUGGCCACAGGGCACCUCGCGCACGAGGGGAGUUCACCACACAAGCUGAGCGGAGGGCGGACGCAGGAGAGCAGCGGUUUCUCGGAAGCCAAGGGCGGUCAUGGAGCCCCACGCCACAGCGCUUCCCACGGGGCCACACCAUCCGGUCUGCGGAGGGGGCUGCAUUGCCGGGAAGGACCAUCUGAUUCUGGAUUCCAGCCUCACCCUGGGCCACCGCUGAGUGUCCCAAGUGGCCCCUUAGCCCCCAGGGCCAGGCGGCAUCCCAAUCCCCUAGGGAUGUCUGUGCUCAGAAUGUGGCACACACGCCCCGGCAGGGCCAUCCUCCUCCUCCUGCACCCGCCACAGCCGUGGAUUCGGGGUCUCUAUCGUGGGCAGAAAUUCACACAGUCAAGGUGAGGGUCCCAGGAGCAGCUGUGACCAGGCCCCGGCUGCCAGGGAGAGGGGGUCUUCAGCCGACGGGGCAGACACCCUGAGAUGGACCCUUGUCCAGGGGAGGGCCCUGCCACCCACAAUUCCUUGGCAUUCCUGCACCAGCAGGACGGGCUGAGGGAGGCGCCUCACCAGUGCCAGCGCCCAGCAUCACUGUGCCCCGGUGGAGGGGGAGGCCCUUCCGAGCCUGGGCCUGGGUGUGGAUGAGGGCAGGUCUCUCACCUCUCUGACCUCAGCUUCCUCAACUGGGAAGGGGGGCCACAGCACCCCCUUAGGGGUGAUGAGGAAGUGGGAGCUCAGGGAGGACCCCGGGCAGGGCUGCCUCCUCACCUCUCUUCGGCCUUUGGACACUGGAGCUCAGAGGACCAAGUGAAUGAAUGAAUGACUCGAUCAAUCAACUGAUCCAUGAAUCCAUGGACCCCUGAACAGCUGGACAGCUGGGCUGUGGGCAGGACAGGGGACUCUGGCUGAAGCCGCGUUCAUAUGUGUUCAGCUUUAGGCCUCCACUGUGCCCGGACCAGCGGCCCACUCAGUGAGUCGAGUGUGCACCUGGCACCCCUCUUUCUGGAAAUCCACGAACAAUGGGCUCCCAGCAGAGGACUGAGGCUGAGCAGGCCACUUCCCUGGAGCUGACCCCACAGCUGUCCUGCUCCUCCUUCGCCUUCUGCCAUGACUGUAAGCUUUCUGAGGGCUGACCAGAAGCCCAGCAGAUGCCAGCACCAUGCUUCCUAUACAGCCUGCAGAACCGUGAGCCAGCUAAACCUCUCCUCAUAAAUCACCGAGCCCCAGGUUUAUCUUUACAGCAAUGCAAGACCUGACUAAUACAGCACCAGCUCCCCAAAAUAAAAAGAAAUAUUCAAACAAAUAAGCGCACAGAAGUGUUCCCAGCAGCACUAUUCACAGCAGCCAAAAGGCGGAGGAGCCACAGGCUUGUCAGCUGAUGACAGAUAAAGAAAGCAUGGCCUGUCAUCCCAGCACUUUGGGAGGCCGAGGUGGGUGGAUCACCUGAGGUUGGGAGUUCAAGACCAGCCUGGCCAACAUGGUGAAACCCAGUCUCUACUAAAAAUAUAAAAAUUAGCUGGGUGUGAUGAUGAGCGCCUGUAGUCCCAGCUACUUGGAAGGCUGAGGAACAAGAAUCGCUUGAACCCGGGAGGCAGAGGUCGCAGUGAACCGAGAUCAU
rnacentral:lncRNA from 1 species